GAGGAAAAGAAACUAACAAGGAUUCCCCUAGUAACGGCGAGUGAAGCGGGAAAAGCUCAAAUUUGUAAUCUGGCGCCUUCGGCGUCCGAGUUGUAAUCUCGAGAAGUAUUUUCCGCGCUGGACCGCACAUAAGUCUGUUGGAAUACAGCGUCAUAGUGGUGAGAACCCCGUAUAUGGUGCGGAUGCCCAGUGCUUUGUGAUAUACUUUCGAAGAGUCGAGUUGUUUGGGAAUGCAGCUCAAAUUGGGUGGUAAAUUCCAUCUAAAGCUAAAUAUUGGCGAGAGACCGAUAGCGAACAAGUACCGUGAGGGAAAGAUGAAAAGCACUUUGGAAAGAGAGUUAACAGUACGUGAAAUUGUUGGAAGGGAAACGCUUGAAGUCAGACUUGCAUUUUGGAGUUCAGCCGCAAGGUGUAUUCUUCAAUUCGCAGGCCAGCAUCAGUUUUCGGGGGUGGAAAAUCGCGGUUUGAAGGUAGCAGUCUCGGCUGUGUUAUAGCUUUCCGCUGGAUUCACUUUUGGGGACUGAGGAACGCAGUACGCUUUUUGCAAGAUUCUAGAGUCUUUCGUACUUAGGAUGCUGGUGGAAUGGCUUUAAACGACCCGUCUUGAAC
rnacentral:rRNA from 1 species